UACAGGCGUGUGCCAACACGCCCUGCUAAUUUUUUGUAUUUUUAGUAAAGACAGGGUUUCACCAUGUUGCCUAGGCUGGUCUCGAACUCCUGAGCUCAAGCGAUCCGCCUGCCUUGGCCUCCCAAAAUGCUGGGAUUACAGGUGUGAGCCACUGCACUGAGCCAAUGCUUCUCAUUUAUAGAAUCCACCCCGUAACACUCCUGGCGACAGAAUCUUAGACAAAGAGUAGUUGCCAGAAUUCCAGCCCCUGAAAUACACGGGAAAACAAGAUGCAGACAGGCUAACAGAUAAUCCAACGCAUUCAACAAGGUGACAAAUGGCAUUGUUGGCCACAGGGUUUGAAACAUGCUUGAAGGAGGAACUGGAAGUGUUUGGGGCCAUGGUAGAAAUCCAACUCCAUUCCAGACGUCCAACACAGCUUCCUUGUUCCAUGAGGUCAUUGCCUCCCAGUGUCUCUUUGGUCGUGUUCCUCCCCACAAAGCAAUAAAAGUUGGAUGACAAAGUUGAGCCCUGGUGAAUGAAGGCUAUAUUAAAAAGUAAAGAAUGGAGAAUUGUUGGUAAUAAAAGGAAAUGAGCAGGACGGUCCACUGUGGCUCACGCCUGUAAUCCCAGCACUUUGAGAGGCUGAGACAGGAGGAUUGCUUGAGCCCAGGAGUUUUGAGACCAGCCUGGGCAAUGUAGUGAGACCCCAUCUCUACAAGCAGUAAAAAAUAUACUAGCCAGGCAUGGUGGUGUGCACCUGUGAUCCCGGCUACUCUGGAGGCUGAGGAUGGCUUGAGCCCAAGAGUUUGUAGCUGCAGUGAGCUAUGACUGCCCCACUGCAUUCCAGCCUGGAUGACAGUGAAACCUCAUCUCAGGAAACAAACAAAAAAAAGAAUGGCCGGGCUUGGUGGCUCACACCUGUAAUCCUAGCACUUUGGGAGGCCAAGGUGGGCAGAUCACCUGAGGUCAGGAGUUUGAGACUAGCCUGGCCAAAAUGGUGAAACCCGUCUCUACUAAAAAUACAAAAAAAUUAGCCAGGCAUAGUGGCACACACCUGUAGUCCUAGCUACUCGGGAGGCUGAGGCAGGAGAAUCACUUGAACCCAGGAGGCGGAGGUUGCAGUGAGCUGAGAUUGCACCACUGCACUCCAGCAUGGGCGACAGAGUGAGACUCCGUCUCAAAAAAAGAAAAAAGAAAAAGAAAUGAGGUAUGAGCUAGGCAAAGGCACGGAAGAAUCUGAAACGAGUAUUGCUAAAUGAAAAAAGCCAAUCUCGGCCGGAUGCGGUGGCUCACGCCUGUAAUCCCAGCACUUUGGGAGGCACGAGGUCAGGAGAUUGAGACCAUCCUGGCUAACACAGUGAAACCCCGUCUCUACUAAAAAUACAAAAAAAUUAGCCAGGCGUGGUGGCUGGCGCCUGUAGUCCCAGCUACUCAGGAGGCUAAGGCAGGAGAAUGGCGUGAACCCGGGUGGUGGAGCUUGCAGUGAGCCUAGAUCGCGCCACUGCACUCCAGCCCAGGCGACAGAACAAGAAUCCAUCUGAAAAAAAAAAAAAAAA
rnacentral:lncRNA from 1 species